AUAAUUUCUCGAGCUUUCUUCUUAAUACUCUCCACUAGUUAUAUUCUCUUGCUUUUUCCCCUCAAAGCAUGUGUUUGUGUAUAUAUAGCAACAUAUAUCAGACCAUGCAUUCCAACACAAAAUUACAAGUUCUAUUUUACAAGAAAUAUAUUUGAAUUAAAAGUGUUGUUCUUGAAGAAAUGAGUGAGAUCAAAUAUGGCUAUCCAUAUCCUGCUCAAGGCCCUUAUCAAGGACCGCCUCCGGUGGCGGCACCACCACAAUACUAUGCGGCUCCACCACCACCAAAAAGAGAACCGGGUUUUCUUGAAGGAUGCCUAGCUGCUUUGUGUUGUUGUUGCCUCUUGGACGAGUGCUGCUGUGACCCAACUAUUAUUUUUGCGAGCUAAUAAUACAUUUCACUAAACUGGGAAAUUAAGACGCUAUUGUACUUGUAACGAUAUUUAUUUAUUUAUUUUUUUACUUUUUAAAUUACAUUGUUUGUGUGGAUAUGUCCUAUCAUGAAUUGUAUGAGUAAAUAACCAAUAUUUGCUAUUAUAUAUGAAUAUGAUAUAAUAUUGUACAUUUGUUAAUAAAA